GGGCGGGGACGCCACGCCUGCGCAGUGGAGCUCGCGCGCGGAGUUCUGCGCUCCGGUGAAGGUCCGGCGGCGCGCGGCGACCCCAUGGAGGAGCCACGGGAGGAGUCGGAGCCCCUUCUGAGCCGGGCCCGGGGCGGCAGUGGCCGCCCGGCGGGCUCGGGCGGCUCCCGCGGCGUCCGCGUUGGGCCUGGUGCUGCGUCCAGGCAGGAUCUCUGCUUUGACCAGGCUGCCGUCUUCAUCGAAGAUGCCAUCCAGUACCGCUCCAUUAACCACCGCAUGGACGCCAGGUCGAUGUGGCUUUACCGACUGUAUUACUCCAACACCUGCCAGUGGACGUUGAGCCUCACCAUCUUCUUGAUCCUGCUUUUGGCUUUUGUCGAGACCCCUUCCUCGCUCACCAGCACCGCGGACGUCCGCUUCCGCUCGGCCCCCUGGGACCCGCCCUGUGGCCUCACCGAGAGCGUCGAGGCGCUCUGCCUGCUGGUCUUUGUGGCUGACGUGUCUGUGAAGAGCUAUCUGGUUGGAUGGGCCCAGUUCCGGAAGAACCCCUGGCUGCUGGCCUACCUCGCAGUGCUGGUCGUGUCUCUCGCGGACUGGAUCGUGUCGCUGAGUCUGGUUUGCCAGGAGCCCCUGCGGAUUCGCAGGCUCUUUCGCCCCUUCUUCUUGAUGCAAAACUCCUCCAUGAUGAAGAAGACGCUCAAGUGUAUCAGGUCGUCGCUGCCGGAAAUGGCCAGUGUCGUGCUGCUGCUGGCACUGCACCUGUGCGUCUUCACCAUGCUCGGGAUGCUUCUCUUCACAGGCGAGAAGCAGGACGACGGGCAGGACCGGGAGAGGCUGACGUACUUUCGCAACCUGCCGGAGGCCCUGACCUCCCUCCUGGUGCUGUUGACCACGGCCAACAACCCUGACGUGAUGACUCCUGCGUACUCCAAGAACCGGGCCUAUGCCAUUUUCUUCAUAGUCUUCACCCUGAUAGGAAGCUUGUUUCUGAUGAACCUGCUGACGGCCAUCAUCUACAACCAGUUCCGGGGCUACCUGAUGAAGUCCUUCCAGACCUCGCUGUUCCGGAGGCGGCUGGGGGCCCGGGCCGCCUACGAGGUCCUCUCCUCCAUGAGCACACGGGGAGAAGCCCACCCUCGAGGGGUCGGGGUGGACCCCCAGGACUUCCUGCAGGUGCUCCAGAGAGUCCAGCUGGACAGCCACCAGAAACCGGUCAUCAUGGAGAAGGUGCGUUCCUACGGUGGCGACCUUCUGUCGGCCGAGGAGUUUCAGAAGCUCUUCAAUGAGUUUGACAAAAGGGUGAUUAAAGAGCGCCCGCCGCGGCCCGAGUACCGGUCUCCCUUCCUGCGGAGCGCUCAGUUCCUCUUCAGCCACCGCUAUUUUGACUACCUGGGGAACCUCAUCGCCCUUGGGAACCUCGUGUCCAUUUCUGUGUUCUUGGUGUUCGAUGCCGACGUGCUGCCCGGGGACCGUGAUGACUUCGUCCUCGGGAUUCUCAACUGCGUCUUCAUUCUGUACUACGUGCUGGAGCUGCUGCUCAAGGCGUUCGCUCUGGGCCUGCGGGGGUACCUGUCCUAUUCCAGCAACGUGUUUGACGGGCUCCUCACCGUCGUCCUGCUGGUUUUGGAGAUCUCAACUCUGGCUGUGUACCGAUUCCCACACCCAGGCUGGAAGCCAGAGAUGCUGGGCCUGCUGUCGCUGUGGGACAUGGCCCGGCUGGUGAACAUGUUCAUCGUGUUCCGGUUCCUGCGCAUCAUCCCCAGCAUGAAGCUGAUGGCCUUGGUGGCCAGUACCAUCCUGGACCUGAUCAAAAACAUGCGGGCCUUCGGCGGGAUCCUGGUGGUCGUGUACUACAUCUUUGCCAUCCUGGGCAUCAGCCUGUUCCGAGGUGUCGUCGUGGUGCCUGGCAACGGCAGCCUGGCCCCUGACAACAGCUCGGCGCCCUGCGGAAGCUUCGAGCAGCUGGAGUACUGGGCCAACAACUUUGAUGACUUCGCGGCCGCCCUGAUCACUCUGUGGAACGUGAUGGUGGUGAACAACUGGCAGGUGUUUCUGGACGCCUAUCGGCGCUUCUCGGGCCCGUGGUCGAAGAUGUACUUCGUGUUGUGGUGGCUGGUGUCCUCUGUCAUCUGGGUCAACCUGUUUCUGGCUCUGAUUCUGGAGAAUUUCCUCCACAAGUGGGACCGCCGCGCUCACCUGCAGUCCCUUGCUGGGGACCCAGAUACGUGCUGUCAGGUGACUGUGGAUCUCCUGUUCAGGGACGUCCUGGAGGAACCCACGGAGGAGGAGCUGCUGGAGCGGCUGAGCUGUCACCCGCACUUGCGGCUGUGCAGGUGACCCCCGGGUGCGCCGUCCUGGCACGGGCGGCAGGUGGCCGUGUGGCCUCGAGACGGACGCCCGUCGAGGCAGCAGCCCGGGAGGAGAGACUUUGCGUGGCCGGAAUUCUCCACCCACGCGAGGCGGGAGCGGAGAGCAGGGCCCUGUUCGCUGCCCGGCGGAACCACCACCUACCAGCGGCUUUUCCUCGCGGCGCCUUGGGCUCCGCGCGCGGCCGCUUUCUUUGGUCGGCUGCUGCAGCGAGACUUUGACUUUUCUACACCCGGGUGGAGGGUGACUCCCCGGGACCUUUGAGACCGUCUGGAAAGCAGGAGGCAGUGGCCUUCCUCGUGGGCCCUGCGAUUUCCGUGGUGCCUUCGCUGCCGGUGGCCUUCGGGGACCACGGGCCCGCCUGGGGCCUGCACGGGCCAACCGGCAGCUUUCCAGGGCAUUCAGUUUGGGUGGUUUGAGAGGAAGAGAAUCUUAAGGGUUUUAUUGUUUUAUGGCUCCCAUGAGUAUUGAUCGGACGGAUUUCUUUACGGGUCAGAAUGCCCCUGGUUUUUAUCCUUGCGAAGAGUGAGGUCGUCAUUCUUACGUGGACACAGCUCCAAUCCUGCUUCUCUGGAGCAGGGUGGCCAGGCGCCUGCCGUCCUCGGAGUGCUUCUUUGCUUUCUGGUGUGAAGACCCGUUCAAGGCCUCAUGUCACGCCUCCUGUGCCCCAGCCCUGGAAACAGCCGUCUCUCCAAGGACUCGUGUUCCUUUAAGCAAGAACAGCAUCUGGAAACCAAGGUGUGGGCGUGAGGAGCCCGUGCUGACGGGUGGCAUGGCGGAGGGUGAGCCCAGCUCUGUCACGAAGGCCGGUGCCCUCGGCCUGCCCUGUGGGUCUUAGCGCCAGGCCUGGAGGCACCCUUGGUUUCUAUAUGACAAGCGUUCACGUGCAGCUUGCUCAGCGCACAGGCGCGUGGGCUCUGGCCCCCCCGCUCUCAUGGGUGCCCUGUUUCAAACCAUGAAGGUAAGAUCUGCUCUGUCAGCCUAGAAGUCCUCGCCAGCCACGUGCAGGGAAGGACGGAGGGUAUGCGAGGGGCAACCCCAGGGGCCUUCUGGUGGAGGUGGCGGAUGGCCCAGGGCUCACUCGUGCGCAGAGCGGAGUGGGGUGCGGGGCGGGGGUGGUCACCGCAAAGGAGCCGCGGCUGGGGCUGUCCGUACGAUGCCCUGUGGGGCCCUGGCCACAACUCGGGGUUGGAUCUUGCCCCCCGUCUUACCCCCUGAGGCGGGCCCCACAGCAGGGCCCCGGGGAGAGGAGAUUCGGGGCCCAGGCACGGUUUCCCCGGAGGAUUAAGGUACGUGUGGUUGGAGCCGACACUGGGGUUCUCGGCCUUUCCUCCGCUGGCUCCCUCCCCCGGGCCCGGCACCUCCAGUGACAGGUGCCAGGCCUGUCCUCAGGUGUGACACGUGCUGGACAGCUUGUCCUCCCAGGGGCCCCUCCGGAUAGGUCUCCUUUGCGGCGUCCUCUUGCCCCGCACGUGACCCGCAUCCGGCCCCACUGACCGGGGAGGCUGGGGUUGCUGCCCGGCUGUCCUGGCAUCCUCGGGCCACCGUCUUCAGUCGUGGGGGCACACCCGUCAGCCCCCCAGGUGACCCUGAGCCCCGCACGGCACGUAGUGUUGGCAGCUGGGGGGGCACAGCAGAGCGGUGAGUGUCCCGCCUCCUCCCCCUCUCGGUGCUCCUUUCCCCUGUGAGCGAGGGGGCUUCAGGGCGGUGGGGGGGGGCUGGUUUUCACCCAUUUCCUUCGUCACUUCCGUUCGUGUCGAAAGGGUUCCCCCUUGGGUUGUCACACCCCUUGUGUUCGGGCGGAAGCUCAUUUACAGCUUCCCGCCGCGGGCCGUUUGCGCCGAAACAAACCCGGAAACCUCGAACCUGUGGGUCCUUCGGCUCGAUGGCGUGGACGUGGGUGGCUCGUCCCUCUGAUGGUGUUGGAUGUUGCAGACUGUCCUGCCCGGAGCUUUGACGCUGAGAAAGAGGAGAGGGUUCGGGGAAGGACGGGACCCCCUGGCGGAAGGUGGAUCGCGGAAAAAGUAGGCGUGACCAGCUUUCAAAUACACUGGAAGGUUCUUGAUUGGGCAGAGGGUUGGCGACUGUGGCCCUUGGCUGUCUGCUGAAUCCGUGGACCCUUCUUAGAAGAAUGUCUUUAAGGGGCGCCCGGGUGGCUCAGUCGGUUGAGCGUCCGACUUCGGCUCAGGGCACGAUCUCGCGCUCUGUGAGUUCGAGCCCCGCGUCGGGCUCUGGGCUGACGGCUCGGAGCCUGGAGCCUGCUUCGGAUUCUGUGUCUCCCUCUCUCUCUGCCCCUCCCCCGCUCAUGCUCUGUCUCUCACUGUCUCAAAGAUAAAUAGGAACAUAAAAAAAAGUAUUUUAAAAGAAAACUGUCCUUAGGCCAUCACCUGAAAUGCAGAAUAGUUAUGUUGAAAAACUGCCAACAAAAUACUAACAAAUAAAUGUGGGGCAGGAGAUUCACCACCUGCCCCACGUUCAAAGCGC